UACGUAGGGGGCAAGCGUUGUCCGGAAUUAUUGGGCGUAAAGAGCGAGCAGGCGGUAUGGAAAGUUGGACGUGAAAUUUUAGGGCUUAACCCUAAAGGGUCGUCCAAAACUCCCAAACUAGAGUGCAGGAGAGGAAAGCGGAAUUCCCGGUGUAGUGGUGAAAUGCGUAGAUAUCGGGAGGAACACCAGAGGCGAAGGCGGCUUUCUGGCCUGUAACUGACGCUGAGGCGCGAAGGCUGGGGUAGCGAACAGG
rnacentral:rRNA from 1 species